AUGAGCACACAGAAUGUAAUUCCUAUGAAACAUAUCAUUGCUCCUGACAUCAGGGCUCACACCUGCAAUGCUCCACAACCUUCAGUCCAUCAAAUGUUCAAUGCUAAAUCCGAUAUUUACAGUUCGGCAGAUGAUACUUCCCGAGUCUCGUAUGCUGACCUAUCAGACCCGAAUUCAUCCAGCUCUUCCACAUUCUGCACAAGCAUGUACUCAUCGUCGUCGACAAAACCCAGUGGAUUUUCUUUCCUGCCCCAUCCUUCUAAAUGUGAGCAGCAGCAGGUAUCAGCUGCAAAAUCAUUGAGCUCUUCUUUGCUGUUUGCUGCUGAUCUGAGCACUGGCGUUCAUGGUGAUCUUGAACAUCCACUUGAUCUCAAGGACUUCCUUAACCUCUCCGGCAACGCUUCUGACAGUAGCUUCCGUGCAGGAGGCAAUGCCAUGGAUUUCAGUGAGCAGCUGGAGUUUCAGUUCUUGUCUGAACAACUUGGGAUUGCCAUCACCGACAACGAGGAGAUCCCUCGGUUAGAUGACAUAUAUGGCAUACCGCCGCAAUGCUCGCCUAUUCUUGUAUCGCCUUCAUCUGACCAUGAGGGUCUGCGCAGUGGGGGUUCUCCGGUCAAAGUCCAGUUGAGUUCAUCACCAUCAUCAUCGGGAGCUACAGCAUGUAGCAAAACGAGAAUGAGAUGGACACUUGAGCUCCAUGAGCGUUUUGUGGAGGCUCUGAAAAAGCUCGGAGGACCGGAAAAGGCAACUCCCAAGGGUGUGCUGAAGCUUAUGAAGGUAGAAGGCUUGACAAUCUUUCACGUAAAGAGCCAUUUGCAGAACUAUCGACAUGUGAAGUAUAUUCCGGAGAAAAAAGAAGUGAAGAGAACCUGUUCAGAAGAUAACAAGGCAAAAUCAGCACCUGGAAUUGAUUCUGGCAAAAAGAAGAGUUUUCAAAUGGCGGAAGCACUACGGAUGCAAAUGGAGGUUCAGAAACAGCUCCAUGAGCAACUAGAGGUGCAAAGGAAAUUACAGCUGCGCAUAGAGGAGCAUGCAAGAUAUUUGCAGCAGAUACUAGAACAACAGAAGGCCAGAAAAUCCCCGGUACCGAAACCAAAGGAGGAAACAGAGGUCAACACCACUUCAGCUCCGUCGCUGAAGCGUAAACUUUCAGACACCAAAAUAGAACACAACUCGCAGAUGGAUAGCAGAAGGCCAGAGCUACAACUUGAUCUUGAAAGUGAACCAUGA
rnacentral:rRNA from 1 species